UACGUAGGGCGCAAGCGUUGUCCGGAAUUAUUGGGCGUAAAGAGCUCGUAGGCGGCCCGUUAAGUCAGUGGUGAAAGCCUCCAGCUCAACUGGAGAACUGCCAUUGAUACUGACGGGCUUGAGUACAGACGAGGUUGGCGGAAUUGAUUGUGUAGCGGUGAAAUGCAUAGAUACAAUCAAGAACUCCGAUUGCGUAGGCAGCUAACUAGGCUGUAACUGACGCUGAGGCACGAAAGCGUGGGGAGCGAACAGG
rnacentral:rRNA from 1 species